rnacentral:misc_RNA from 1 species
AAAAAACACUUCAAACUCCAGACAGAAGAGUGACUGCAGAAUCGAAAACUUGAUAAUUAUCAUCAUCUCGGAGAGUAGUAGACUUAUUCAAUUGAGAAAGUAAAGCAUAGAGAAUAUGUUUGUUUGUUUAUGUAAUAACAGUUGGGGCAGAACGACCAGUGUAUUCCUGCAUUUUCGAUAGUUUAAGAGCAACCUCCACCAGGGGAGCAAGUGCUUCCUGAGAAUCUCUACCAAUCUUGGAUGAAUCCUUCUCAUACUGCUCAAUGUACAGACGGAUAGUUGCACCCUCUGACCCUGUUCCAGAAAGACGGAACACCAGUCGUGAUCCAUCUUCAAAUAGAUAUCUUAUACCUUGAUGUUUUGAGACAGAACCAUCAACUGGGUCCUUGUACUCAAAUUCAUCAGCAUGCACCACAUUUGAAACAUCUGAACGGAUUCCCUUUAUUAACUUGUUAACUUCAUCAAUGGAAGAUUGCAGCUUCACCAAAUGAGCCAUAAGAUCCUUAGCACCAUCAGCAUUGACAUUCUCGUAGUCAUAUCGAGUGUAAUAGUGACGUCCAUAGGUUGCCCAGUGUUGGCGAACAAUAUCUUCAACAGACACAAGGUUACCUUCCCCAAGGUUGUCCUUAUUCUUAUAGGCAAGGAUAGAUAACCAAGCCAAAACAGCCCAUAUUCCAUCUUUCUCUCGAAUAUGGUCUGAGCCAGUUCCAAAACUUUCUUCUCCGCAAAUUGAACACAUUCCAGCAUCCAUCAAGUUACCAAAGAAUUUCCAACCAGUGGGUACCUCAAAAAAUUUCAAGUUCAGGUGUUUAGCAACGAUAUCAAGAGCAGCAGAUGUGGGCAUACUCCUGGCAACACCUUUCAAACCUCCAGAAAAAUAAGGAAUAGCUUGUACAGCAUUGGCAGCAAUUAUAGCUACAGAGUCGGAAGGAGUCACAAAGAAUCUUUUCCCCAGGACCAUGUUACGGUCCCCAUCUCCAUCAGCAGCUGCUCCAAAUUCUGGUGGAUUCGGUUCAGAAUGCGUUUUAGACAAUCCCAUACGUGCAACUAACUCCUUUGCAUAGGUCAGAUUGGGAUCGGGAUGCCCUCCACCAAAGUCCUCCUUGGGUACACAAUUAACUAGAGAGGUUUCAUUUGCCCCAAGCUCCUCCACAAAUAUACGCUUUGCAUGUACGCCAGCAACUCCGUGAAGUGCAUCAUAGCAGAAACUAAAUUUUGGAGAAGAGAGCAACUUCUGGAUAGCUGGGAAGUCAAAUAUUGACUUCAACAAUUUCAGAUAAUCACUAGUUGAAUCAAAAACGUCAACGUCAAAUUUCCCCUUUGGACCCUCGAAGCUCGAGACACCUGUUGUAGAUAUAAUCACAUCCGGCAGGCCCUCGGCAAUCAAGUACUCCUUUAUUAUUGUGGUAUUCUCAUAGAUCUUGUUUGUUAUACCUUCCGGAGCAGGUCCACCAUUUUCCAUG